AACGAACGCUGGCGGCGCGCCUAAUACAUGCAAGUCGAGCGAGAAGGUGUAGCAAUACACUUGUAAAGCGGCGAACGGGUGAGGAAUACAUGGGUAAUCUACCAUCGAGUGGGGAAUAACCAACCGAAAGGUUGGCUAAUACCGCGUACGCCUCCGAGUCUUCGGGUUCGGAGGGAAAGCUGCACUGUGAGUGUAGCGCUCUUUGAUGAGCUCAUGUCCUAUCAGCUUGUUGGUAGGGUAACGGCCUACCAAGGCUUUGACGGGUAGCUGGUCUGAGAGGACGAUCAGCCACACUGGCACUGCGACACGGGCCAGACUCCUACGGGAGGCAGCAGUAAGGAAUAUUGCGCAAUGGGCGAAAGCCUGACGCAGCGACGCCGCGUGGGGGAUGAAGGUCUUCGGAUUGUAAACCCCUUUCGGGAGGGAAGAUGGAGCGAGCAAUCGUUCGGACGGUACCUCCAGAAGCAGCCACGGCCAACUUCGUGCCAGCAGCC
rnacentral:rRNA from 1 species